rnacentral:snRNA from 1 species
GGUCAUUUAGAUGACCAUAUAUUAAAAUUGUAAUAAUACAGAGGAAAUUCGCAUAGCUCCAGUGAGAGCAUUACGCCUAAAUUCAAAAGCAUCCAAAAUUUCGA